rnacentral:rRNA from 1 species
CUAUCAUUAACUGAAUCCAUAGGUUAAUGAGGCGAACCGGGGGAACUGAAACAUCUAAGUACCCCGAGGAAAAGAAAUCAACCGAGAUUCCCCCAGUAGCGGCGAGCGAACGGGGAGCAGCCCAGAGCCUGAAUCAGUGUGUGUGUUAGUGGAAGCGUCUGGAAAGGCGCGCGAUACAGGGUGACAGCCCCGUACACAAAAAUGCACAUACUGUGAGCUCGAUGAGUAGGGCGGGACACGUGGUA